rnacentral:rRNA from 1 species
UACGUAGGUGGCAAGCGUUUGUCCGGAAUUAUUGGGCGUAAAGCGCUCGCAGGCGGUCUUUUAAGUCUGAUGUGAAAGCCCACGGCUUAACCGUGGAGGGUCAUUGGAAACUGGAGGACUUGAGUACAGAAGAGGAGAGUGGAAUUCCACGUGUAGCGGUGAAAUGCGUAGAGAUGUGGAGGAACACCAGUGGCGAAGGCGACGUCUC